rnacentral:ncRNA from 2 species
AAGUGCGCACCGCUUUGAGGUGCUUUGCUGCUUUGCAGUCAAGUUAAACGGGAAGCAGGUGCGUUGAUAUAGCUUGAAAUCGGGGAAGGUUCGCGUCGCGAAUUUUCAAGAUUUUGAGGUGAGCAAUAAAGCCUGCGCUGCCCCCGCAACGGUCGUCGAGUGAGGGUUUGCCAUCGUGCCACUGUGAGAAAUCAUGGGAAGGCGGCAAAUCAAGACUCGUGAGCCCGGAUACCGGCCAUGGAGCAAUGGUACAG